rnacentral:lncRNA from 1 species
AACUGGAACAAGAUGCAGGACUGAGUGCUUCUCUAAGGAAAGAAGGAGGAAACAGCAGUGUUGACCUGCCCUGGAGUCCACCCUCACCUCAGCCCUGCUCCGCAUCCCUCGUGCUCCUGGGUCACCGCCAACCGCACCGAAACCCCAGGGCUCACUCACUCUUGUGCUUCUGGGCAUGUGCAACCUGCAGCCAUCAGAGGGCCCCAUGCAUCUCAGGGUGCUAUGGACAUGGCCCAAUGUAUCUGCAGAGGACAUCAUGUCACAGUAUCAGAAGAUCAGGUACCCCACAUGUAUAGAGCGCUUUUCCACCCCCACCUCACUGAAACUCUUUAACAACCUUCCGCCUCAUCAGACUCUUGGGAAAGCCUGGCCUUGCAUGGGUCCUGAGCCUGCCUCUACCACCCAAUUAAGCUUUGAGGCCUACUAAGGCCUAAAUGCUACUACCAGGGGCAAGGAGUCCCUGACUCCACUGUAAAAUCGUCUUCCUGUGUGGUGCCAUGUAUCUUGGGCUACCUUACCAUCAUUCUUGUCAUCUACCACUGUAAUUACACAUUUACAGACUGCC